rnacentral:rRNA from 1 species
GAUGAACGCUGGCGGCGUGCCUAAUACAUGCAAGUCGAGCGAACGGACGAGAAGCUUGCUUCUCUGAUGUUAGCGGCGGACGGGUGAGUAACACGUGGAUAACCUACCUAUAAGACUGGGAUAACUUCGGGAAACCGUAGCUAAUACCGGAUAAUAUUUUGAACCGCAUGGUUCAAAAGUGAAAGACGGUCUUGCUGUCACUUAUAGAUGGAUCCGCGCUGCAUUAGCUAGUUGGUAAGGUAACGGUUUACCAAGGCAACGAUGCAUAGCCGACCUGAGAGGGUGAACGGCCACACUGGAACUGAGACACGGUCCAGACUCCUACGGGAGGCAGCAGUAGAGAAUCUUCCGCAAUGGGCGAAAGCCUGACGGAGCAACGCCGCGUGAGUGAUGAAGGUCUUCGGAUCGUAAAACUCUGUUAUUAGGGAAGAACAUAUGUGUAAGUAACUGUGCACAUCUUGACGGUACCUAAUCAGAAAGCCACGGCUAACUACGUG